rnacentral:tRNA from 1 species
GGACGUAUAGCUCAGUUGGUUAGAGUACGUCGUUGACAUCGACGGGGUCACUGGUUCGAAUCCAGUUACGUCCAC